CUGGCCAGAACUUUGAGGGCCGCCCUCUGAAUGUGCUCAAUUUUAGCACUGGUGGCACCAACCGUCCUGGCAUCAUGGUUCGCCAAGAAGAUUAUGACUGACCCCAUCCUCACGGCCAUUUUGGACAAGAUGGACAUCUUUCUGGAGAUCAUGGUCAACCCUGAUGGUUACUACUACACCCA